rnacentral:lncRNA from 1 species
AGGAUCUAAUUAGUUAUUCUUCAUGAGUGGCAUUGUGUAACUGCGACGAUUUUGUGCCUCCGACAUCUAGUACUUCUCAUCUUCAUGCGAGAGGCAGUGUGUGCUAGCAAUGAGCUUGUGCCUAUGGCAUUUUGCACUCUUGAUGAUAUUUUGAGGGUCUGAUUAGUUAUCCUCCCAGAGAUUUUCUAAGGAUCUUCCUCCGCUUCUCAUGCAACUCGGACUUUACUGGGGUCUGAUAAGUUAGUUCGACCUCAGAGUCAUCGAGGUCUUCUCGAGGGUCUGAUAAGCUAGCCCUCUGGAGAUUCCC